rnacentral:rRNA from 1 species
AUUGAACGCUGGCGGCAUGCCUUACACAUGCAAGUCGAACGGUAACGCGGGGGCAACCCUGGCGACGAGUGGCGAACGGGUGAGUAAUACAUCGGAACGUGUCCUGUUGUGGGGGAUAACCCAUCGAAAGGUGAGUUAAUACCGCAUGAUCUGGAGACAGCAAAGCAGGGGACCGGUAACGGCCUUGCGCGAUUGGAGCGGCCGAUGUCCGAUUAGCUAGUUGGUGGGGUAAAGGCCCACCAAGGCAACGAUCGGUAGCUGGUCUGAGAGGAUGAUCAGCCACACUGGGACUGAGACACGGCCCAGACUCCUACGGGAGGCAGCAGUGGGGAAUUUUGGACAAUGGGGGCAACCCUGAUCCAGCCAUGCCGCGUGAGUGAAGAAGGCCUCGG